rnacentral:rRNA from 1 species
CUUGGUCAUUUAGAGGAAGUAAAAGUCGUAACAAGGUUUCCGUAGGUGAACCUGCGGAAGGAUCAUUAUUGAUUGCGAAUCGUUGUCUUCAGUGCUGGCCAGCUUUGGCAAGUGCACGUUGGCGGCUUUUCAUCCAAUACCCCUGUGAACCUUUGGCCUCUUGCUGGCUUUGGCUGGCAGAGGAUUUUUUACACCCACUCGAAUGUAAUGAAAUUAUUGUUGUGCGCAAGCACUAAUGUACAACUUUCAACAACGGAUCUCUUGGCUCUCGCAUCGAUGAAGAACGCAGCGAAAUGCGAUAAGUAAUGUGAAUUGCAGAAUUCAGUGAAUCAUCGAAUCUUUGAACGCACCUUGCACCCUUUGGCAUUCCGAAGGGUAUGCUCGUUUGAGUGUCAUUGUACUAUCACACUCCCGAUGCUUUUUGAAUCGGGAGUGGUGGACUUGGGUGUUGCUGCUUUACUGUGGCUCGCCUCAAAUGGAGUAGUGCAACUCUCGGUUGGACAUAGUACGGCGUGAUAAGUGUCUUCGCCGGCUCCUCGCAAAGAGGGUGGCCGAUCGGGAGCUCUGUUGCUUCAAACUGUCUUCGGACAAUCUUCUGACAACUUGACCUCAAAUCGAGUAGGACUACCCGCAUGUCUUAAGCAUAUCAAUAAGCGGAGGA